UAAAUAGAGAACUAGAAAACCCCACACUCCAUAUCCAAUUUCUCUCAUUCUUCAAGCCUUUUCAUUUACUACUAGUCUUGAAGAUCCAAAAUCAAGAUUCAUCACAUCUUUUGUUUCUUCACUCCAAUUGUUUUUUUUGUUUUUUCUCUAUCCAAACAUUGUUAAGAAGAGAUUUGAAGAAGUUAUACAAGAUGAGGCUGCUUCUCAUUUUUUUGGCUUUGCUCAUCAUGGCUUCAUCAAUGUUAGAAGCUAAGCCACUUAUUGGUUCAACAAGUUGUCCUGUACCUAGAAAUAGUUGUUCACAGGCAUGCGUUAAGAGAUGUGCACUUAAAGGUCACAAAAAACGAUGUUUGUUUUACUGCAACCAUUGCUGUAAUUGGUGUCAAUGUGUUCCACCAGGAUAUGUUGGGCAAAAUAAAGGGUGUUGUUCUUGCUACAACAAUUGGCACACACAAUUAGGAGGACCCAAGUGUCCAUGAAAAUAAAAGGGUGGAUCAGUUUAAUGUUUAAUUUUCUUUAUUUGAUCUUCUUGAGAAGGAUGAUCCCAUGUAUUGUUAAAAUCAAGAAUUAAUAUUUCUUGAUUAUGUUUUAUGUUUGGUCACCAUGAUCAAACUAUUAUCCAUAAUAUUACAAAUUUUCAUGAACCAAAAAUAAACUGAACUCUUUUUUUUUUUUU